rnacentral:rRNA from 1 species
UACGAAGGUCCCAAGCGUUAUCCGGAUUUAUUGGGUUUAAAGGGUGCGUAGGCGGGCUAUUAAGUCAGUGGUGAAAGCCCCAAGCUUAACUUGGGAACUGCCAUUGAUACUGAUGGUCUUGAGUACAUUUGAGGUGGGCGGAAUGUGUCAUGUAGCGGUGAAAUGCUUAGAUAUCUGGAGGAAUACCGGUGGCGAAGGCGGCAUCCUGGACCAUAACUGACGCUGAGGCGCGAAAGCUAGGGGAGCAAACGGGAU